UCUGGGUGUGGUGGUGCAUGCCUGUAAUUCCAGCUGCUUGGGAGGCUGAGGCAGGAGGAUAGCAAGUUCAAAGCCAGCCUCAGCAAUUUAGUGAGGCCCUAAGCAGCUCAGCAAGACCCUGUCUCAA
rnacentral:sRNA from 1 species